UUUGUGAGCCACCACCCCGAGGGAGCUCACCCGGGGUGGAUCAUUAUCUUUUGUAUUUUGUUAUCACAUUCAACAAAAUAUCUAUGUUCCAAUCUUUUGUUCAUCUAUUUUAUCAUUGUUCUUGGUUCACCAAAUCACCCGUCUCGUAUUAUUUACCGAAUCGAAGCUGAAAUCAGAUCGUUAUCGGGACUAUCAUUUGGUAUCAGAGCUUGGUACUCGAAUUUAGGAUUCAAUAAUCUUCAAAUUCAUCCUAAAAAUCUGAUUUUUAUUUGAAAAGUUUUGAAACUUUUAGGGUUUUUUAUUUUUUAUUCACUUUUUCUUCAAAAAUCUUGUCUUCAAAAGGUUUAAAGUAUUUGUUUGCUGAUUGAGAGCUGAGACUAGCAUUAAUUGAAAGAUUCAUAGUCAUUUCAUAUCAUUUUUAGAGGUUUCAGCUCAAAUCAGAUGGUUUUAGUCGACGAUUUUAUUGAAAGUUCCGGCGAAUUUGGGUUUUCCGGCAAGUUUCCGGCGAAAUUAAUUUCCGGCGAUUUUAAAUCUUGAACGCGAGUUCAAGUCUUCCGGCGUAUUUAGUAAAUUCGCCGGUAAGUCACCGUUUUCCGGGGUCGUUACUCCGGCGGUUUCGUCCGACCAGUGUAUUUAUUAUUUUUUUAAAAAGAAAGGGGUAGAAAACGGAUUUAUCAGCGUAUAUAAUAACAAAUUAAAUACAUAUACAUUUUCUGUUUUGAAUCAUUCCGUCUCCGGCUAACUUCCGGCCAUCAUUUAGGGUUCCGGCAAGUUAUUCCGGCGCCGCCGCGUAUCCGGUGAACUGACUUCGACCAAAACCACCGCUGACUAAACCAUCAAGUUUCUUGUUGCCGUUUAGUCUUGAAAUGUUUUGAAUUUGUAUCGGCUCUAAUAGAUCUACUACCAACCCAUACUAAACCGAACCACAUUGAACCCGUUCUUCCGAUCAUCAACGUCGGUCACAGCCGCACCACCACUGUUCCGGUCAACACAGUUCUGUCACCAUCUCUCCAUCACCAUCUCUCCAUCACCAGUCCACCCCUACACCUGGUACUCGGCUACACCACCCUUUUCCACUCAAACCUACACACACUAAAACCCCACCCACAACCGUCAUUCUCUAACACCGUCAACUACCAUUCAACCUCCACCGCACUACCUCCGACUUACUGAUCACUGUGAGCCACAACCGGUCAACAACCAAUAACCACCACAUCCAUCGUUACUUCACCCGACUAUUACAUUCUCGCAACCCUUCACUUUGU
rnacentral:lncRNA from 1 species